rnacentral:rRNA from 1 species
AAACCCCCUCGCCGAAAGACUAAGGUUUCCUGAUCAACGCUAAUCGGAUCAGGGUUAGUCGGGUCCUAAGGCUCAGCCGAACGGUGAGGCCGAUGGCAGAACAGGUUAAUAUUCCUGUACUACCUUAAAGAGUGACGUGGAGACGGAGGCGUGACAGUGCCGCGGACUGACGGAAUAGUCCGUUGAAGGGUGUAGAUGUUGAUCGGGGUAGGCAAAUCCGCCCCGAGAGUCGAACCUGAUAGUAUGGAGCGUUCUUCGGAACAAUCCAAUAGUGCAUGUAAACAUACUCCCAAGAAAAUCCGCUAAACUUAAUCUUUAAGGUACCCGUACCGUAAACGGACACACGUGGUCGGGUAGAAUAUACUAAGGCGCUUGAGUGAUUCACGGUUAAGGAACUAGGCAAAUUGACCCUGUAACUUCGGGAUAAAGGGUCCCCACUGCGAGGUGGGGCGCAGAGAAUCGGUCCAGGCAACUGUUUAACAAAAACACAGGGCUAUGCCAAAUUGAAAGAUGAAGUAUAUAGCCUGACACCUGCCCGGUGCUGGAAGGUUAAGAGGAGAUGUCAUCGCAAGAGAAGCAUUGAAUUGAAGCCCCAGUAAACGGCGGCCGUAACUAUAACGGUCCUAAGGUAGCGAAAUUCCUUGUCGGGUAAGUUCCGACCUGCACGAAUGGUGUAAUGAUCUGGACACUGUCUCAACCGUGAGCUCAGUGAAAUUGUAGUAUCGGUGAAGAUGCCGAUUACCCGCGAUGGGACGAAAAGACCCCGUGAACCUUUACUAUAGCUUAACAUUGAAUUUGGGUAAUUGAUGUGUAGGAUAGGCCGGAGGCUUUGAAGCAUGUACGCCAGUAUUUGUGGAGCCGCUGUUGAAAUACGGCCCUUUGGUUAUUUGAGUUCUAACUCGUUGAUGCGAGGACACUGUUUGGUGGGUAGUUUGACUGGGGUGGUCGCCUCCAAAAACGUAACGGAGGCUUCUAAAGGUGCCCUCACGCCGAUUGGUAACCGGCGGCAGAGUGUAAUGGCAUAAGGGCGCUUGACUGGGAGACUUACAAGUCGAUCAGGUAGGAAACUAGAGCAUAGUGAUCCGGUGUUUCUGUAUGGAAAGGACAUCGCUCAAAGGAUAAAAGGUACUCCGGGGAUAACAGGCUGAUCCCUCCCAAGAGCUCAUAUCGACGGAGGGGUUUGGCACCUCGAUGUCGGCUCGUCACAUCCUGGGGCUGGAGAAGGUCCCAAG